rnacentral:lncRNA from 1 species
GCGGGGCCAGGGUCUCGGUCCUCUCGCUUGCGGGAUGGCACAAUUGGCUCAGUCCCAGAGUCUUGGCGCGGUUGAGCUCCUCCCGGGCGACAGAGCCUCUCUACUUUUCACGUCGUGCCACCGCAAGAUAGCCAGUUCCUCCCUAUGGCGACCGCCUGGCUCUGCUAGACAAGCUGACUGCGAUGCUCCUGCUCUUCCACCUUGGAAAGAUUCAUGCAGAAGUCACAUGGAGAAGGGCCCCAGGCACAUGAACCCGGUGAGCCUUUCCUAAUGGAAGUGUCCUUCAAUAAGGCUGCUUGGGAAGGGUUAGAAGGUGUGGCCUUGUUGGAUGAUGUGUGUCACUGGGGGGCUGGGCUCUGAAGUUCCAAAAGCCCAUGCCAGGUCCAGUCUCAUCUCCGUCUGCCUGCCUGCCACCAUACUUCCUGCCAUGAUGAUAAUGGACUCGCCCUCUGAAACUGUAAUUAAGCUCCAAUUAAAUGCUUUCUUCUGUAAGUUGCCAUGGUCAUAAUGUUUCUUCACAGCAUAGAACAGUAACUAAGACAGGGACAUUCUCAUUCAAACCACCACACAGAUGGGUUAAUUAAUGCCUCUGCCACCUGGGUUCUUCUCUCCUGACACUGGAUUAGUUUCCAGGAGAGCAGGUUAUUAUAUAGUAAAUUCAGUUUCCUUGAGUUCCUCUUGCUUCUCUCUGCAUAUACUCACUACUUGCCUGCUUCUUUCCACUGUGGGUUGAAACACCACAAGGUUCUCACUAUAUCAUAGUCUUGGGCAUCCCCAGAUGCCAAAAAUCAACCUUUUCCUUAUACUUUUCCUAUUUCAAAUAUUGUUAGUAGCAACAGAAAAUGGACUAAGACAAUUUCUCUAAAACUGGAGCCUG